rnacentral:rRNA from 1 species
UACGUAGGGUGCAAGCGUUGUCCGGAAUUAUUGGGCGUAAAGAGCUCGUAGGCGGUCUGUUACGUCGGCUGUGAAAACCUGGGGCUCAACUCCGGGCCUGCAGCCGAUACGGGCAGACUAGAGUUCGGCAGGGGAGACUGGAAUUCCUGGUGUAGCGGUGAAAUGCGCAGAUAUCAGGAGGAACACCGGUGGCGAAGGCGGGUCUCUGGGACGGUACUGACGCUGAGACGCGAAAGCGUGGGGAGCGAACAGG